rnacentral:rRNA from 1 species
AUUGAACGCUGGCGGCAUGCCUUACACAUGCAAGUCGAACGGCAGCACGGGUGCUUGCACCUGGUGGCGAGUGGCGAACGGGUGAGUAAUAUAUCGGAACGUACCUUAUUGUGGGGGAUAACGCAGCGAAAGCUGUGCUAAUACCGCAUAAUCCCUAAGGGGGAAAGCGGGGGACCGUAAGGCCUCGCGCAAUUAGAGCGGCACAUACCUGAUUAGCUAGUUGGUGAGGUGAAGGCUUAACAAGGCAACGAUCAGUAGCUGGUCUGAGAGGACGAUCAGGAAAACUGGGAAUGCGACACGGCGCAGACUCAUACGGGAGGCAGCAGUGGGGAAUUUUGGACAAAGGGGGCAACCCUGAUCCAGCAAUGCCGCGUGAAUGAAGAAGGCGUUCGGGUUGUAAAGCUCUUUUGUCAGGGAAGAAACAGCAGCUCUAACACGGUGUGCGAAUGACGGUACCUGAAGAAUAAGCACCGGCUAACUACGUGCCAGCAGCCGCCGUAA